UGGUAAUGGCAAUCUGUCUCUAAGGAGGGAUGAAUCAUUAUAAAGAAACUGAUCCUAAAUAUCCCUUCAGGUAAAGCAUCUUGU
rnacentral:pre_miRNA from 1 species